ensembl:lncRNA
CUGGCAAAGGACACGCUCAGCUCAGCUCAGCGCUAGACUUGGGAGAAAAGCAGGACAUACACAUUUAUUUGGAAAGAGAGGCAGAGAAGAAGUAAGUUCUUAAAGGUGCAGUCGUGGAUUGUAUUACGUUUACACUUUUUGUUGAAUUCAGUGAAAUUCUCUUCGCGUGCCACCAGCUGUCCAUUCAAAAAAAGUCCUGGCUCUGUAAGGCUCUGUAAAUGGGACACAAACAAGAUGGUUCAGGUGAAGCCAUACACUACGGCUAGUUCAUGCUGCUUCAUGAGUGAUUGGCCAUUUAGCUCAAAUUUCAACUUACUUUUAGCCAGAAUCGAGGACUGUGCCUUUAAGACAAAGGUCAGACUAUUUGUUAUGUAGCCCCUUAAACCCCUCUUUGGAGUUUUAGCUUCACUCUUUUGUGUCAACAGAAUUUGUUUCCAUGAACAUAGAUUAGUAUCAUAUUGAGCCUACAAACUGGUGUACUUUUUCAUAACAGGGAAGACCUCGUGUAAGAACAUUUAUAGGGAGGAUCUUUUUGGGGGUUUGUGGGAUAGUGUCAGGCAGUGGCAUAUAUUGCAUUAUGUAAUUUUUUCUGAUAAUGAAGCGUCUUCUUUUUCUAAAGUUUAUUUAACAUUUGCAUAUUGAUACUGAGAUACGAACUGUGCUAUGUAUAAAAUUACCUCAGCGGUUACAGUAAAAAAGCCCCUUCUGAGAGUGCUGUGUUCAAUUAUUCUGGGUCUCAUAGCAUCUGAUAGCAGGCAAGUCAUUCAUUUUCGAAAGAAAAACAAUGGACUUAUUCCUGGACGGGUUUCCUGGCCUCCUCUGGCAAAUUGAAACAUUUUGGGAUCGCGCUAAAGCGUACGGCUGGCUUUAGUGCCCAGGAGAGUGGAGGCGUACGGCUGGCUUUCGUGCCCAGGAGAGUGGAGGCCUGGCCUGGCCUGGCCUGGCACCGGCUGCAGUGUGGUUCUAAUCGGUGGAACACUUGCGCAUCAGGUCCCUAUUAGUGUCUCAGCUCUGUAACUCGUUUGACCAGAGACUGCAGUCAAAUGGAAAGUCAACAACAGAUCAGGCUCAUUUUCAAGAGGAGGGGAGAGCGGGAGACCAAGGCCACUGCAUCACACUCUGGUUCCCGUCAGUCCUCUCUCCGUCGGUGCAUGGUCGGUCAACCAACAUGCUCAGUCCUAUGACUUCCCCCCUGAAAGCUUUGAUAUCUCCAUGACCACUUUGUGGCCAAAGCACAGGGACUUCAAAGGAAGUGUUUACGCUAUGCUGAAUAUAAUAUGUAUGCUAACAUGACUACAAUUGAGGAAAAAAUAUUUGUUUUGUGCCAUGCCUUCCCCUCCUCUGCCGUUUAACAACCUGGAACGUAAAAGCAUCUGUCAACAAUCAGAGAGGGAGAAAGGCAUGAAUACAAACACCCUUGUUUAGUAGAGGACUUCCUGACUUUGUGCGUUCGUGAGUGUCGUGCUUCCCCUGGUACCUUUUAUGUUCUGCAAGUCCGUUCGGACUUGAUAGCCAGGAAAGCAGGAAGAAGUUUCCAGCUGAAGACCUCAGUGAGAUGAAGGUAUGCAGUUGGAGAAUGUCUGAACACCCAAACACCACAGAAUGCAAUUUCACUUGUAAAUCAAAGUGUUUUGCUUUACAGAUUUGAUGUUAGUGGUCCAAAUCAGAUGCAGAUAUUUGCUGAUAUUUUUUAGCGCAGUUUGCCACAACGUGCAUGGACACAUCAAAAUCCAAAGUCUGUAGUCUGUAGUUAAACCAUUGUAAAAACACGUUGUUUUUUCAGGUGUUAGAUAACCCAGAACAAAACAAAAAAUCUGUUUUGGGGAUGGCUAUAUAUUGUUUCCAUGUCUGCUUUUACCUUGCAUCAUUGCAUUCUAUUCAUCACAUCAAGAACAUAUCAUUAUCAUCAUCAUCACCAUCAUCAUCCUCACAUAUCUCUUUUUGUCAAACUGGUGGUGUGUAAAUGUAUUCUCUUGUUCUCUGAAGUGGCCCUCCUCUUUAGUGGUGGAUGUGAUCUGCAUCUGUCAGCCGGAGCCAUGGAGGGUGGCACCGGGGCUCUCUGCCAGGGCUAGAGCUGUUUCACUGAAGCCAGAAAAGGAACCAGAUGUCCACAAUCAUGUUUUUUUUCAGUAUUCUGAAUUAUGGUUAGCAAAAGGGAAGCGAUUCCAGUGACUCCACACAUUUUGGUGAGUUAUUGGAUUGCUGCAGGAAUUGAAAAAAUGUGUGAGUGUGUGUGUUUGCCAGCCCCUGUGGUCCCCGCUGAGAGACACCGGGAAGCGGGAAGCAGAAGCGCAUGAAGUGACAGAGUUUCACAAACGAGGUGCGCGCCUCGAGAAUUCAGCCUUGCUGACACUCAUUAGCCAAGGGAAAACAGAAAAAGCUUGGAAUAGAGUGGAAUAGUGUUUCAUUCUUUUGCUGUUUCAUUUGUAGACUUAAAUAAGAACAAUGAAAAUAACAUUAAAUAAGAACAAUGAAAAUAAUUUCAUUUUAAAGUUUCCAUGUGAUUGCCCGCUUCAAAUAUGAUUCCAAAUAUUGAUCAUCCUUUGAUAUUCAGUUCACUGACUUGAUCUACCCACCACUACAUUAAUCUGAUUGAACUGAUGAUUUCACAAUCAUUAUCAUCACAAAUGGCAAUAAUAUUUUCUGUCUGAAUUCAUUGUUUUUUUUGGUCUUUUUUCAGGACACUACCUCUCUUGUAGCAUUUAUCUUGGAUUGUUUUGCGAGCAAGGGACAAAGAGGGGUCAAUGAUAGCUAUCCCAUGGAUUCAGAUAUUGCCAUAACGCAUAGAAUGUCAAAAAAAAUUCCAGAAAGAUCCAAGGGACAAGGUUUGUUCUGUAAAGGCUGCAUUCUGUUGAAGCUAUGUAAUGUACCUGUCUUUCUACACUCCUAAACAGUGACAUCUGACAACCUCAGGUGAGGAGAAGGAAAUGGGGGAAAACCUGAAAUCGAUGCAACACUGCCUUCUACUGGACACUCCAAGAAAAGGUACAGUGGAAUUAAAAUUCAGUUGACUGUCAGGCAAGCAGGCUCCCUUCAUUUAAGUAAAUCAAACCUGCAAAUACAUAUAGAAAAAAAAACACAUUUUCAUUCAUUAGAUGUUGAGAGUAAUACAAGUUAAAAUUCUUUGCUUGUUAACUUACCAUUUAAAAUUUAAAUCUGUGUCAUACCCUUAAUCAGUAUUCUCAGACAAAGCAAACUACCAACUCUAAAAUACAGAACCCAGAAUUCGUAAGUAUUUUUACUGUCUGUACUUGACCUCUCUGCUUUUCUCAUUUUUGCCGAGUGAAAGACAGAGAAAGAGCGGUGCUGUUAAGAGUGUGUGUGUUAGCAUGUGUCCGUGUGGCAGAGGUUAGUCUGGCCUCCACUGACCCGUGAGGUGUGUGUACAGUAAACGGCACCCCUACGACCUCCUACAGCAGCUCUGCUAAGUACAACUACACAAUGUUCAUGUGAACUGUGUUCCAAAGAUCUGCGUCCCGCAAUCAUUUUCACCGUGGUGUGGUAGUCUUCCCCUCCAUCUCAGGUGUCCAACCACGACUCUUCCCCCCGCAGGAGACGGGCAGUACACGGUCUGACACCACCAAAUACGGACAUAGGAGUUUGCUUGUCAAGCUUGCUCAUUUUAGCCAUUUUAAAAGUUUCCUGACAUUAUAUGAAUUUGUCAAUUUUGCCAUCAGUGUUUGGAGGUUUUACAUUUGGUUAAAGGAAACCUGUCAAAUGGACCAGUAGAUGAAUUUGGUUAAAGGAAUCCUGUCAAACGGACCAGUAGAUGAAUUUGGUUAAAGGAAUCCUGUCAAACGGACCAGU